rnacentral:misc_RNA from 1 species
GAUGAAGAACGUAGCGAAAUGCGAUACGUAAUGUGAAUUGCAGAAUUCAGUGAAUCAUCGAGUCUUUGAACGCACAUUGCGCCCCCUGGUAUUCCGGGGGGCAUGCCUGUCCGAGCGUCAUUGCUGCCCUCAAGCACGGCUUGUGUGUUGGGCCUCCGUCCUCCUCCCGGGGGACGGGCCCGAAAGGCAGCGGCGGCACCGCGUCCGGUCCUCGAGCGUAUGGGGCUUCGUCACCCGCUCUUGUAGGCCCGGCCGGCGCUUGCCGACACAUCAAUCUUUUUUCCAGGUUGACCUCGGAUCAGGUAGGGUUACCCGCUGAACUUAAGCAUAUCAAUAAGCGGAGGA